CCUACGGGUGGCAGCAGUGGGGAAUAUUGCGCAAUGGGCGAAAGCCUGACGCAGCGACGCCGCGUGAAGGAUGAAGGUCUUCGGAUCGUAAAGCUCUGUCAGCAGGGAAGAACGGUCACUGUGCUAAUCAGCAGUGAAUUGACGGUACCUGCAAAGGAAGCACCGGCUAACUCCGUGCCAGCAGCCGCGGUAAUACGGAGGGUGCGAGCGUUAAUCGGAAUUACUGGGCGUAAAGCGCUCGUAGGCGGUAUGUCAAGUCAAGGGUGAAAUCCCCGGGCUCAACGUGGGAACUGCCUUUGAAACUGGCAAACUAGAGUGAGUGAGAGGAUAGUGGAAUUCCAGGUGUAGCGGUGAAAUGCGUAGAUAUGUGGAGGAACACCAGUGGCGAAGGCGACUAUCUGGGACAUUACUGACGCUGAGGAGCGAAAGCGUGGGUAGCAAACAGGAUUAGAUACCCUAGUAGUC
rnacentral:rRNA from 1 species